rnacentral:rRNA from 1 species
GUGUAAAGACCUUAGGGUGAAGCAAUUGGAGGGCAAGCUUUGGUGCCAGCAGCCGCGGUAACUCCAACUCCAAGAGUGUCUAUGGUGGAUGCUGCAGUUAAAGGGUCCGUAGUCGUGAAUGCAAUUAAAUGUCGUUGUUCAAUAGCGAUGAGUUUGCUAAUGUUUGCGGAACGGAUAGGGAGUGUAGUAUAGACUGGCGAAGAAUGAAAUCUCAAGACCCAGUUUGGACUAACGGAGGCGAAGGCGACACUCUUAGACGUAUCUUAGGAUCAAGGACGAAGGCAGGAGUAUCGAAAGUGAUUAGACACCGCUGUAGUUCCUGCAGUAAACUAUGCCGACAGCCUGUGUGUGAGAAUACGUGGGCGGGAGAAAUCUUAGUGUUCGGGCUCUGGGGAUAGUACGCUCGCAAGGGUGAAACUUAAAGCGAAAUUGACGGAAGGACACUACCAGGAGUGGAUUGUGCUGCUUAAUUUAACUCAACGCGGGAAAACUUACCAGGGUCAAGUCAUUCGUUGAUCGAAUACGUGAGAAUGGCAGGAGUGGUGCAUGGCCGUUGGAAAUUGAUGGGGCGACCUUUAGCUUAAAUGCUAAA